rnacentral:tRNA from 1 species
GGCGCGGUAUCGAAGUGGUCAUAACGAGGCGGUCUUGAAAACCGUUUGCGGGGAGACUCGCACGUGGGUUCGAAUCCCACCCGCGCCGCCA